CUCGCAGUUUACAUGACAAGAGCAUGUGAGGAGGACAUGCAACAGGCGGCAUCUUGAAGCCUGGUUUGUUCAAAGCACUUCGGUGUAAUGAAAAAUCAAUUUCUGCAACUUUUCAAAAGAUGCAAUUAAGUUGGUGCUGUUGCCUUGCUGCCUCCCGUGAAAGAUGCUCCAGGACUUCUGGCUGCGUUCCUACCAGCAGUUAAGAGUGCUUCAGGCAAGAUCUUAUCCUGCAAGGAUCAAGAGACACCGUGUGCGCCUCUGUGUGUGUGUGUUCUUGCCAAGGCUGCACAAAGGCAUAAUCAUCAAAGGAGACAU